rnacentral:rRNA from 1 species
GUGGGGAAUAUUGCGCAAUGGAGGAAACUCUGACGCAGCGACGCCGCGUGAGUGACGAAGUCUUUCGGGAUGUAAAGCUCUGUCAAGAAGGACGAUUAUGACGGUACUUCUGAAGGAAGCCCCGGCUAACUACGUGCCAGCAGCCGCGGUAAUACGUAGGGGGCUAGCGUUACCCGGAUUUAUUGGGCAUAAAGAGCAUGUAGGCGGUUAAUUAAGUCAGAUGUUAAAUCCCCAAGCUUAACUUGGGUUCGCAUUUGAAACUAAUUUUCUAGAGAUCAGUAGAGGAAAGCGGAACUCACAGUGUAGCGGUGAAAUGCGUAGAUAUUGUGAGGAACACCAGUUGCGAAGGCGGCUUUCUGGCCUGAUUCUGACGCUGAGAUGCGAAAGCGUGGGGAGCGAACGGGAUUAGAAACCCUGGUAGUCC